CAGCAGCCGCGGUAAUACGUAGGGUGCAAGCGUUAAUCGGAAUUACUGGGCGUAAAGCGUGCGCAGGCGGUUCUAUAAGACAGAUGUGAAAUCCCCGGGCUCAACCUGGGAACUGCAUUUGUGACUGUAGAGCUGGAGUGCGGCAGAGGGGGAUGGAAUUCCGCGUGUAGCAGUGAAAUGCGUAGAUAUGCGGAGGAACACCGAUGGCGAAGGCAAUCCCCUGGGCCUGCACUGACGCUCAUGCACGAAAGCGUGGGGAGCAAACAGGAUUAGAUACCCGAGUAGUCCCUGUCUCUUAUAC
rnacentral:rRNA from 1 species